AUCUAUGACCAUACUACCCUGAACACGCCCGAUCUCGUCUGAUCUUGGAAGCUAAGCAGGGUCAGGCCUGGUUAGUACUUGGAUGGGAGACCACCUGGGAAUACUGGGUGCUGUAGGCU
rnacentral:rRNA from 1 species